rnacentral:lncRNA from 1 species
UCUCUCUUCUUCUGUGGACGUAGGCUUUCAAGCCGAACCACGUAAAAUUGUUUGUUCUCUGUUUCGCUCUUUGUUCCAGCUCCUUGACAAGAUACAUGGACGAGCUUAUUAUUGAAAAAAAGCAAAAGAAAGAGACCCAUGUGUAUAUGUAUGUAUUUAUCUCUGUGUGUGUGUAUAAGGUCAUUAGAAUAAUUUUAAAGUAUAUGCAGUUUCCAACCGCAAUGUCUGAACUUCCUGGAAGUCUUGAGAGCUGAUUCUCUGAUUUAGCAUGGUUUAUGUCAAGCAUGGCCAUGUAAAUGCCGUUCAAGUGCGUAAGUAGCUUAGGAACUCUUAUACUAGUUUCUCGAGAGGAAAAAUAACUAUUAUACCCAAAGAAUAGAAAGAAAGCUAUUUCAUCUCCAAUAUUUUCUUUGAACAGCGUUGGUUAACACAUAUAUUUA